rnacentral:lncRNA from 1 species
UUCUCGAUUUACAUAAAUUAUUUUUCUUGAGCUAUGUGGAACUUUUUCCAAAUAUUCAGAUCCUUUCCCUGAUACCCUUUUGUGAUCCUUGGAAAUAUUUGCUUAUUACUUUGUUAGGGCAAUACAACUAGUCUUCUGGUGUUGUGACAGGGCUUUCCAGUUUGAACAAUGGUUGAAGUCUUAGUAAUUAUCUCAAAAAUUACAUAUUUUGGGCAUCAAAGCCAACCAGUCUAGUUCAGAUUUGUUGUGUGGUUCAUUCCUUGGGGCCAUAUUAAAACAAUACUUUAUAGUUAAUCUCCAAUAGCUGGACAAACUGACACCUUUACAAAAAUUAUAUUUCAUUUUUGGUGUAUUAAUAGAAUCACUGGGAAGGUGACCCACCAAAGAUUCAACAUUUCUGGCUCAUGGAAUAUAUUUUUCAAAUAGGAAUGUGGACUCAUAUUAGACUCGCAUUAUUACAGCAAAUGUGUGAUUCCUUUAAGCAAUCAAACUCCAUAACACUCUUACUUUAAGGCCUAUGUAAAUUAUGGGACCAUUACUUGUUUUUGAAGAGAUUACUAACUAUACAAAGGGAUUCACAUGGCUUCCUUAAGUGGUAUUUUUAUAAGUUCAUUGUUUGAAUUUUGUUUUUCUUCCAUUGCACAGAGUUUACAACCAGGAUAGAAACAUAUACAUACACCCUAAAUUAAAUGAACUUAGGGAGGAUGGUUUUACAAAGUUACAUCCCCCUGAGACUGAUCCUUCUGAGGAUUAUCUAAUUUUUGAGAUGUCACAGGUAGCAGAUUGUCAGGGCUUGCUAAUAACUGUGUCCUCUUUCUUCCUGAGCCCAAGCUCAACUACAUUUUCCAGCAUCCUUAUAGUAAUGUGUGGCCAUAUGACUGAGGUUUAGUCAAUGCAUUAUGAGUGCAAGGAACAUGUGCCUCUUCCAGGCAAGGCCCAGAAAGCAUCCUAACCCCCUUUUCCUAUUAUCUGGCUGAAUGUAUAGGAUUCCCAGGAUGUAGGGGAAGUACCUGGCUCUGAAUUGUUUCCAAGGAACAAAAAAAGCUCACCCCCAACCACCCAGUUCUUACCAACCCUCACUGAAUUACAGAGUGAUUUUGAAAUUUGAAUUGUUUUAAGCAACAGAUAUCAGAAUUUGUCCCUUCUAGAGUUUGGUAUCAAUUGCCUUAAUAAACAUCAUUGGAAUCUACCCUCUAUAGCCAAAAGUCAGUCUUCUUCCAGUCUUGAUUCUUCCUCAAGUGUGGUUGAAUGUCCAAGCCCAACUUGGUAAAGAUUCAGGCAAUAAGAGGGAAAACCCGGAAACUUGGGCAGAGUCAAGGCAGCCUAUGUCCAAGCUUAGCCUAGAGCAUGCACAAGCUUCCAACAUGAUUGGUGGCAGGCUUAGUCAUAGCUUUAUGGUGAAAUGAGUGCAAGGUUAAAAUGGGGAAAUAAAUUGGGACUUGCGAAUCUAGAUAUGGCUUAGAUGAAGAAAAAGUCAAAGGCUAAAAGGAAAAACUGUUUCUCAACUCACAACACUUCUGACACCAGAUGUAUAGAGUUUUUCUUCAUAUUAAGUGAUUCUGACACUAACUACCCAAACCCCAUAGAUUAGGGGCUCAGUCCUAUAAGACUGUCCCUCCACCCCAGAUGCUAUCUGAAUGUAGAGGUCCCCAGGUUAUACACAAUUCUGUCCAACUUGGCUACAAAUACGAAGUUCGCAUAACCCCCUCUGAAGUUUGAUUGCUUGCUACAGUGAGUCACGGAACUCAAGGAAACACUUUACUUACUAUCACUGGUUUAAUAUAUAGGGUAUUAUAAAGGAUGAAAAUUAACAGCCAGAUGAAGAAGUAUGUGGGAUGAGGUCUAGAAGGGUCCAAAGAGCAGGAGUUUGUAGUACCCCACCCAGAAGCUCUUCAAACCCCUUCGUUUGGGUUUUGAUGGAUGUUUUCAUUACCUAAACAUGGUUGGUAAAACCAUUGGCCAUUGAUGAUUAACCUCCAGCUUCUCUUCCUUCCCCAGAGUUCUGCGAGUAGAGUUGAAAGUUCCAAACCACUAAUCGCAUGGUUAUUUUCCUCCAACAUCCCAGUCCCCAUCCUGAACUAUGCCAACCGAGAGUCACCUCGUUAGCAUAAAUUCAGAAAUAAGUUUAUUAGGAAUAACAGCAUAUGUUCCUCUCACCCUAAGUCUUGAUAAAUUACAAAGGUUUUAGGAGUUCUGUCCUGGGGACAAAGACGAAAUAAAUAUUUCUUGUUAUAUCACAAUAUCUCAGAGGCAAUGAUGCAGACUUUUUCUAGAGGUUUUUAUACUACAGGUGUUUAUUGAUCAAAUUCAUAUUUAGCAGUUUGGGCCUAUGUAACUCAACCAUAUUUUAAAAGCCUCCUCUUAUAAAGGUGAAAAUACUCUCCUACAUUGGUAGUGUUCUCAUUUCUUAAACUCUUCUCAUAUGUAUUUGAUGAAAGUUGUAUGUUGUCCUGAUACAUCAAAGAGAAACUGAUGGUAGGGACACUUUAUAGGCAGGCCAGAUAGUGACUAAUCUCCUAGCCCCCGGGAUUAUAAUCUUUAGAUUAUUUUCUCAGAACAAAGGAUAAAGUCCAGGCAUCUGAGUUUUUGCCUAAAAACAUGGCAGUCUAACCGAGCUCCUUAUAUUUAUAAAGCUUUUUUUAAACUUAACUGUUUAUAUUGGCAAAUAUUUAGUUCUUAGCAACAUUGUAUUAUUAAUGCAGAUUUGUUUAUUUCACUCCAAAUUAAAUUAGGAGUUAGCCAUUAAUUUAUUCAAUUUGUUUAUUCUUUCAUCAAAUCCUCAAAUUAUUGAUCUCUAGUACCUAGAUCUCAGCCCUCAGGGGAUUCCAAACUUAAUGGGGUAUAUCACAAAGUGAUAGAUGACUGAGUUAAACACAGGCUAUUAAGAUUGCACAUGUGGUGUGCAUCUAACCCAGUCUAGAGAGCUGAAGGAUAGCAAAGAGAAUGAUAUGUUUAGGAGAUCAUUAGCAUACAGAGACAAACCAACCAGAUAAUUCAGAUAAAUGUAUUUUGCAAAUGUAACUGAGACUUUGGGGUUCAAUAUAUCCACAAUUUAAACAUGAGUGAAAUUUGAACACCUCCUUUGUAUCAGACACUGUACUCAAUGCUUUAUUUGUAAUAACACAUUUAGAGCUCACGGCAAUUUUGCAAAGUUGACAUUCAAUUUGAGAGAUAAGGAAAAUGAUUCUAAUUUUGAGUCAUAUUUGGAUACCAUAAUUUAUGGUAUGAUAGCCACUUUAAAAAACUAAAUUUUUACAGCCAAAAUUUAACUCGAUUGCUUACUUGCCUAGGUUUUUACCUACUGUUUGGCAAAGAGAUGAACUAAUUACAAUCACAUGGCACUAUGUGUGUAUAUAUAUAUAAAAUCACAUGGUCCCCUGGAAGUUUCCAUACCCUCUCAAAAGCAUGACCACCUGCUCACUUAUGACUUAAAUCUGUAUUAGAAGGAAUAAAACUUUCCUUCUAUCAUUAGAGCUAUGGAUUUAGAUUGUAAAUCCACCAUUGGAAGAAAGGACAUUAAAAUUGAUUCACAUAGAGUUAAAUGCAUGCCAACCUUCCUUCAGUUUGCUGUGACAUAAACAAAAUUCUGCUUUAGCUAUGUGGUGACUAAACAGUAAAAGUUGGGGAGAGAAAGUAGUUACUAAAAAAGAGAGGGAAAGAGACUAUGAAAUUUCAAAGAAAACCCAGAGAAAGAGGCAGGCAGUAGUGAAGAAAAAUCUGAGACUACUUCCCUUUUUCCCUAAGGGACAACAUGUUUAGAUGUUUAAUCUUUCAUUCUUAAAGAACAUAAUCAAGUGUUAAAAAUAGUUGUUUUCCUAGAUUAUUUUUAUGUCUAUUUUUUUCAUAUUGAGGCAAUCAAGUUUUUCCCAUUUAUCUCCACACUAAUAAUUUGCAGUAGUGAAAGGGCUGAAGAUCAUACUCUGGUUUAGUCAUAAACCACUAGGAAAAUCAGCCCAGCAAACCUGCAUUCACUGGUAUCACUCAUUGUAAGAGUACAAUUAAAACCCAAGUUAGACAUCUAUGAAUAAGCUGGCCCUCCGUAAUUUAUUCACUGUUUUGUUAAAACCCCAUUUAGGAUGAAAUUGAUUUAGACGGUAAUCACAACUAAUUGCUAAGUCUUUGGGUUUCAGUUUUUACUGUUGUCCUGAAGAGUCAUCAGCUUUGAACUUAUUCUAAUUCAUUUUCCUAGCAGGGUUAGUUUAUAUAGACAAGGUUAGGUCCACACUCGCAACCAAUCUGACUGAAUUAAUUUGAAGUUAGGGAAAUGUCCGUGGAGUGUAAACAUGAGAAUUUCACAGAUUCACUGUUCAGUUUUGAAGCUUUACAAGAUUGAAGAUCCAUAGCCUGAGGAAUUUGUGAUUAUACUCAAGUACAAAUUUGAUUAUUUUAUGCCAUUUAUGUAGGAAGAAGGAUUGAUAUUCCUUUUUUGUUAAUAGUUUUAUUUUCUUUUUAAUUUUUUUAUUAAAGUUCUGGUUGUAAUGCUAUGGCAAUAUCUGCUAUACAGCAAUGUGACCAAGUCAUAUAUAUAUUCCUUUUCUCAUAUUUUCUUCCAUCAUGUUCUGUCCCGAAAGAUUGGAUAUAGUUCCCUGUGCUCUACGGUAGGGCCUCAUUGCUUAUCCAUUCUAAAUGUAAUAGUUUGCAUCUACUGACCCCAAACUCCUGUGCGUUCCACUCCCCCACCUCCCUCUGUUUUCUAUGUCCAUGAGUCUGUUUCCAUUUGGUAGAUAGGUUCAUACGUGCCAUAUUUUAGAUUCCACAAAUAAGUGAUAUAGUAUGAUACUUGUCUUUUUCUUUCUGACUUAACUUCACUUAGUAUGAGAAUCUAGUUAGAGCCCUGUUGCCACAAAUGGCAUUAUUUUGUCAUUUUUAUGACUGGGUAGUAUUCCACUGUACAUAUGUACCACAUCUCCUUAAGGACUGAUGUUCUCAACUAACAAAUGAAUGUAUCAGUGAAGGUGUUUUAGGUAUUCCACUAACACAGCUUCACAUACAAAAAGAUGUAUUUUCUUACCUAACAGGAAUCUAUAAAAACAGAAAGCCAUAGAGUUGGUGGCUUCCUUGAGUCAAUGCCUUUAAAGAUUGACCACAUUUCCCCACAGUUCCAGUUUUGUCCUAUAUUGAUCUUUCUUGUGGAUGAAGGAUGGUUACUAUCAGCAACUAGGAUUAUAUGUUUUCUUUUAUAUAUCAAAAGGCUGAGGAAGAAUGGUUCUAUCAAGCAUUUUAUUCAAGAAAGAGUUCUGUGAUUUAAGUUGAUUGAAUUGCCUAAGUCACAUGUCCACCCUUAAUACUGACUGUGGUUAGAGAAAUGAAUUUGCUGGUUAUAUUCCUUUGAAGCUCAUGGGCUCCAUGAAAGAAGAGGAGAAGUCUUAAUGUUCUUUUGGAAGGAGGAAGGGGUAAAUUUGUGCUAAGCACAUGACCAAAAUUACCCAAUGUAGCCUAUUUUCCAGCAUCCCAAAUUCAAUCAGGCUUUGCUUUUUAUUGCAUUUUUGGUUUCUGCUUUGGAUUUUGUUUAUGUAUUUUUAAUUUUGUAGUCAAUGAGUAGUAACAUAAUAUUAGUAAAAUAUAUAUAGUAAAAAAUGUGGUAACAAAAUAGAGCAAUAAAUGAUAGGUACAUAGAAAGAUAAAGUAGUGAAACAGAUUACUGCAAAUAUUAACACUGUGGGGGUUUUAGUAAAUCUAAUUUCCAACAUUCUUCUAUGUAUAUAUAUGCAUGUAGAAGAAUGACUAGCUAGCUAGAUGAAUAUAUAUAACAAAAAUAGACCAAGGAAGGGAGUUCCCAUCAUGGCACAGCAGAAGUGAAUCCAACUAAUAUCUAUGAGGAUGCAGGUUCAAUCCCUGGCUUUGCUCAGGAGCUGUGGUGUAGGUUGCAGACAUAGCUUGGAUCCUGCAUUGAUGUGGCUGUGGUGUAGACCAGCAGCUGUAGCUCCGAUUCGACCCCUAGCCUGGGAACUUCCAUAUGCCAUGGGUCUGGCCCAAGAAAGCAAAAAAAAAAAAAAAA